rnacentral:lncRNA from 1 species
CCUCGGGUUGUUACAACUCUCCAAUACUAACAAGAGAUCUCUAUGACGCCCUCGAUUUGAUCAUACGCUAAUCAUACUUGCAAAUGUGUACGACCAAGCUCAAUAAUUCACUGGAAGAUAUCACAGCACAACUCUAAACACAAAUAAAAACAUACACGCUUCAUAUUAAAAGCCAAGGGCCUCGAGGGCUAGAAUACAGAAGCCCGAUAAACACACGAGUCAGCGGAAGCAACAAAUAUAAAGUAAACACAUGAAACAUGAUAAUGCCUUAGAGAAGGUUGGCACAAAAUAUACAGGGAUCGAACAAGGCGAGGACUCCAGCAUGGGAACCUCCUAAACUACUCCUGGUCUUCAGCGGCCUCCACAUAGUAGUAGGCACCGUCGGGGUAGAAGUCGUCGACGACGGGAUAUGCCACCUCCUGGGUUGCAUCGUCUUGUCGCAGUAAUCAAAUCAAGGGGAAAAGGGGGAAUAAAGCAAUGGUGAGUAGUCAUCCAAAGUACUCACAAGACUGACAUCGGAACUAUGCUAAGUUAUGCAUCAGUAUCAAAGGAAGGGGUCAUAUGUGGACUGACUGUAGUGAUGUGAGAAUAGAGAGAGAAGGCCUAGUCCUAUCGAAGACUAGCAUGUUCAGCGUCUUGCAGCAAUAGACGAGAGUAGAGCAAGUAACACAAUUUAUAGUCAUGUUCUUGCGGCAAUAUUAAAUUAAGGUCACGCCCAGAGAUUCUUCCUCAACUCCUUGUGAGGAAGAAAUCCCGGAGCAAACAUUCUACUUAAGUAAUAGUUGUAGUUGUAUAAGAUCGGGGCACAACUCCAAGUCGUCCUAUAACCAUGAACACGACUAUUCGUUAGUUAAAUUUCUUACCUACAGGGGUGCACCAAGUUCCCCGUCACGCUUGAUAAACUCUGGCUGGACACAUUUUCCUGGGUCAUUCCCGGCCACGGAACAUCAACACGUCGCAGCCCCACCUAGGGUCAACAGAGAGGCCACCCCGCCAGUAUAAUUCUAAGUGCGCACGGGUCAUGGGCCCAUCACCCUUUGCGGUCUUGCACUAUGCGAGUCCGGCCGAUGUCAAUCCUAGCACCUCUUAUACAAGAAUGAUGCUUAUCCGGGCAACUCGCUCGCGCGCUGCUCCAUUGCUGAAGACUGAAGAACUUUCGCUGAUAAUACGAUGUCGAGAACCCAUAACUCCUCCCAUGUAGACGGUUAGUGCAAAAAGGUCUCCGACCAACCCAGAUCAAAUUCCCAAAUCCUUUGCAUUUUAAUUAACUCAUCGACACAUCCACGUGGGAAUCCACCCGCAACACACCAUUCAUGUUCCCAGUAGCACAGUGAAGUAACUGUGUGGUUGUCACAUUAGAGGGAUCCGAGGUAUCACCCUUGAUGGAUUCCGAACAAUGUAACCAUUAAGGUGUUCAGGGAGGAAUCACCCUCGAUGGACCACACUUGAUGGGUUGUAUGGCAGCGUCGUUAUUGGAGGUGGUGAAGGAGGAAUCACCCACCGAGAACCACCGCCGAUCAACUACACUACAACGCUAACAUCAGAGUACGUAACGAGGUGUCACCCUCGGUACUCGAUAGUAGCUCUGCAGCGCCUUACAACUAAGGAGGGUGUGAGUGUUGUGACGGCUCAUGGCUCGUCUAUCAGAUGAUCAAGACUUGAGGAAAAACCAGGGGCAACUGGACAUAGGGAUAUAGGCGGUGACUGAUCCUCCUAUACUAAACAGUUUUAAGGUGCACUAGAAUAAAAUAGUAGUUUAUCAAAAACAGGCUAUACAUCAGAUAUAGGAGCUAACUACAAGAGUAUCAAAAUUCUAAUGCAAGCAUGAGGGAGAAAGAAUAGGGGAAAUAGGAAUGAUCGAAGGGGUUUUGCUUGCCUUGUUGCUCUGCGGCAAAGGGUUGGCCGUCAGGAGGGUAGUCGUACCCGGUAGUAGUGUCUAUCUCGGGGUCUAACGGUAAGAAGAGGGGGAAAGAAACAGUAAAUAUAAACACAGAUGUAACACUAAGCAUGACAUGGCAAUAUGCAGGGCUAGGCAUGCACUAACGCGGCAUUAAACGUUAUAGACGGAUCGGGAAAAUAUGUGACGAUAUUUCUUGGGUCACUGGUUACUACCGGAUAGGCGAAAUGGAUGGAGAAGUUCCACGUUCUCUAUGAUAGAGACGCGUGAUAGACGAACGGAUAGCGUAUCCGGGUUUGUCUCUUUUUUAUGAUCAACUUUCAUGUAUAAAUUAUUUCCAUCCGGAUUACGGAUUGUUUUAUAUAUAUAAAGUGUAAUUGCUAGGUUUACCCAUCUCUGGGUACACAACAGUGUACCACAUAGACUAACACGUGGGUCCAUGGGGUCCUAGUUGACCACUCAAAAUUGACUGGUCAACAUAGGGGUGGGGCCCCCUUGUCAUGGGAACACGUGAAAUCUUAUAGGGUUAAUUAAGUUAAUUAACUAAUCCUUUAACUAAUUAAUUAAUAUAAUUUUAUUUCCGUUUUUUGUGCUUGUUUUUUUAACACGAAACUCGGGGUGAUCAUCUUAGUGGGGGAUUAGCCCCACUAAUUAACACGGCUGACCCCAUCUCGAAGAGAGCCAAGCAGCCUCUCUGGCUCGGCAUGCCCGGCCACAGGGGCACCAGCGGCCUAGGCUAGGAGCAGGCAGCAGCGGGCAUGGCCUACGAUAGUGCGAGCGACCAUCAGGUCACAGCAGCAGCAGAACGCAACGGCGACAGAAGGCAGCGAACAACAUGGGGGCAGGGCAUGUGCACGAGCGGAGCACAGCCAGAGGCUCGCGAGAAUCCACGGGAGGAGAGCUCCAGACGCGAUGGGGGGAGGCGACCACGACGUUAGGAAGAAUGCGGAACUAGGAAAAGGGGCACAGGCUCACCGAGGGAAGGUCAUGGACGGGUCCGACGUGGUCGGGGAUGGCCGGAAUAGUAGGGACCGGUAACUACGUGUGGCGGCCGGGGAAAAGGUGAGGUUGAUGCCCAUGAUGUAGAUGCGCCCAGCUCGAACGUGUGGUUGGGGAGGACGGAUCAGCAGUGCGCCGAGCUCCUGGACAAGCUUCUUGCCAGCGGGGGCGACGGUGGCCGCCGGGUCAACCACGAGCGGCGACGACCGCGUCGGGCGGCUCUCCAGAUUGACGGGGGGGGGGGGGGGGGGNNNN